rnacentral:rRNA from 1 species
UACGUAGGGAGCAAGCGUUGUCCGGAAUCAUUGGGCGUAAAGCGCGCGUAGGCGGCCCCGUAAGUCCGCUGUGAAAGUCAAAGGCUCAACCCUUUGAAAGCCGGUGGAUACUGUGGGGCUAGAGUACGGAAGAGGCGAGUGGAAUUCCUGGUGUAGCGGUGGAAUGCGCAGAUAUCAGGAGGAACACCAAUAGCGAAGGCAGCUCGCUGGGACGUUACUGACGCUGAGGCGCGAAAGCGUGGGGAGCGAACAGG